rnacentral:lncRNA from 1 species
UAUGGACUAGUUUUGCAGGUGCUCUUCACUGGCAUCAAGUGUUCUAGGGGAUUGAUCGCAACAGAUUGACGCACCAAGAAGGAGGGCAAACAAACCCUGAAAGAAUAAUGGCAAGAGGAAAAGUCUAGAAAAUAUCCAUCAAUAAUGACUAGUGAUCUUCUCAUGGGAAGAGGCUAUCUAAGCCAGAACGUAGAGCCCCAUGCUCCAUAAGAACAAUCAAGAGAGCCCCACC